ACCAAAGUCUCUGGGGCCACCACCAGGUUCAAAGAUGAAACCACUGAGGCCACCACCAGCUUCAAGGAUGAAGACACUGAGGCCACCACCAGUUCUGAGGAUGAAGACACUGAGGCCACCACCAGUUUUCAGGACAAAACGGAAGCCAAUGAGGCCACAGACCAGACCAGCUCCUCCCCAGGAAGAAACAAGCCUGCCUCAGUGGUUUUUUAAGAUGAAGCAAAUGCCCCAUUAGUUGUGGCCAUCGCACUGCUACUUCUCAUUCUCUAAGUAGAC